rnacentral:rRNA from 1 species
AGAGUUUGAUCAUGGCUCAGAAUCAACGCUGGCGGCGUGCCUAACACAUGCAAGUCGAACGAGAAAGUGGAGCAAUCCAUGAGUAAAGUGGCGUACGGGUGAGUAACACGUGACUAACCUACCCUUGAGUGGGGGAUAACUUCGGGAAACCGAGGCUAAUACCGCAUAAUACCGAGAGGUCAAAGGAGCAAUUCGCUUAAGGAGGGGGUCGCGGCUGAUUAGCUAGUUGGUAGGGUAAUGGCCUACCAAGGCAAUGAUCAGUAUCCGGCCUGAGAGGGCGCACGGACACACUGGAACUGAAACACGGUCCAGACUCCUACGGGAGGCAGCAGUGGGGAAUUUUGGACAAUGGGCGCAAGCCUGAUCCAGCCAUGCCGCGUGGGUGAUGAAGGCCCUAGGGUUGUAAAGCCCUUUCGGCGGGGAAGAUAAUGACGGUACCCGCAGAAGAAGCCCCGGCUAACUUCGUGCCAGCAGCCGCGGUAAUACGAAGGGGGCUAGCGUUGCUCGGAAUCACUGGGCGUAAAGCGCACGUAGGCGGCUUUUUAAGUCAGGGGUGAAAUUCUGGAGCUCAACUCCAGAACUGCCUUUGAUACUGAGAAGCUUGAGUCCGGGAGAGGUGAGUGGAACUGCGAGUGUAGAGGUGAAAUUCGUAGAUAUUCGCAAGAACACCAGUGGCGAAGGCGGCUCACUGGCCCGGUACUGACGCUGAGGUGCGAAAGCGUGGGGAGCAAACAGGAUUAGAUACCCUGGUAGUCCACGCCGUAAACGAUGGAUGCUAGCCGUUGUCGGG